CUUGUCCUCAUUUGUAGGUCGCUUUGGAUAAAAGCGUCUGCUAAAUGAAUAAAU
rfam:Danio rerio chromosome 24, GRCz11 reference primary assembly.